UAGGGAAUCUUCGGCAAUGGGGGGAACCCUGACCGAGCAACGCCGCGUGAGUGAAGAAGGUUUUCGGAUCGUAAAGCUCUGUUGUUAAGGAAUAACGAGUGUGAGAAUGGAAAGUUCAUACUGUGACGGUACUUAACCAGAAAGGGACGGCUAACUACGUGCCAGCAGCCGCGGUAAUACGUAGGUCCCGAGCGUUGUCCGGAUUUAUUGGGCGUAAAGCGAGCUCAGGCGGUUAGAUAAGUCUGAAGUUAAAGGCAGUGGCUCAACCAUUGUAGGCUUUGGAAACUGUUUAACUUGAGUGCAGAAGGGGAGAGUGGAAUUCCAUGUGUAGCGGUGAAAUGCGUAGAUAUAUGGAGGAACACCGGUGGCGAAAGCGGCUCUCUGGUCUGUAACUGACGCAGAGGCUCGAAAGCGUGGGGAGCGAACAGG
rnacentral:rRNA from 1 species